rnacentral:rRNA from 1 species
GACGUAGGGCGCGAGCGUUGUCCGGAUUUAUUGGGCGUAAAGAGCUCGUAGGCGGCUUGUUGCGUCGGCUGUGAAAUCCCAUGGCUCAACUGUGGGCUUGCAGCCGAUACGGGCGGGCUAGAGUUCGGUAGGGGAGACUGGAAUUCCUGGUGUAGCGGUGAAAUGCGCAGAUAUCAGGAGGAACACCAAUGGCGAAGGCAGCUCGCUGGGACGGUACUGACGCUGAGACGCGAAAGCGUGGGGAGCAAACAGG